UACGGAGGGUGCAAACGGUGCGCGGAAUCACUGGGCGUAAAGCGCACGUAGGCGGCUCGAAAAGUCGGAUGUGAAAGCCCUGGGCUCAACCUAGGAAGUGCAUUCGAAACUGCCGAGCUUGAGUACGGGAGAGGGUUGCGGAAUUCCCGGUGUAGAGGUGAAAUUCGUAGAUAUCGGGAGGAACACCAGUGGCGAAGGCGGCAGCAUGGACCGAUACUGACGCUGAGGUGCGAAAGCGUGGGGAGCAAACAGG
rnacentral:rRNA from 1 species